rnacentral:tRNA from 1 species
CCUGUAGCUCAGCUGGAUAGAGCAUUUGACUUCGGAUCAAAGGGUCGGGGGUUCGAAUCCUCCCGG